rnacentral:rRNA from 1 species
GACGAACGCUGGCGGCGUGCUUAACACAUGCAAGUCGUACGGUAAGGCCCUUUCGGGGGUACACGAGUGGCGAACGGGUGAGUAACACGUGAGUAACCUGCCCACAACUUUUGGAUAACGCUAGGAAACUGGUGCUAAUACUGGAUAUGUGCUCCUGCUGCAUGGUGGGGGUUGGAAAGCUCCGGCGGUUGUGGAUGGACUCGCGGCCUAUCAGCUUGUUGGUGGGGUAGUGGCCUACCAAGGCGGCGACGGGUAGCCGGCCUGAGAGGGUGACCGGCCACAUUGGGACUGAGAUACGGCCCAGACUCCUACGGGAGGCAGCAGUGGGGAAUAUUGCACAAUGGGCGCAAGCCUGAUGCAGCAACGCCGCGGGCGGGAUGACGGCCUUCGGGUUGUAAACCGCUUUCAGCAGGGACGAAGCUUUUUGUGACGGUACCUGCAGAAGAAGCACCGGCUAACUACGUG